AUGCUCUUUGAGGCGGGGUGAAAAUCCCCACCGGCGGUACAGCCCGCAAGCCCCUGCACGGGGCACGAUUCGGUGUGAUUCCGAAGCCGACAGUGAAGGAAGUGAGUUGCUUCUGCAGUCUGGAUGGGAAAAGGCGCGU
rfam:Selenomonas noxia ATCC 43541 genomic scaffold SCAFFOLD3, whole genome shotgun sequence.